UGGUAAUUCUAGAGCUAAUACAUGCUGAAAACCCCGACUUCCGGAGGGGUGUAUUUAUUAGAUAAAAAACCAACGCCCUCCGGGGCUCCUUGGCGAAUCAUAAUAACUCAACGAAUCGCAUGGCCUUGCGCCGGCGAUGGUUCAUUCAAAUUUCUGCCCUAUCAACUUUCGAUGGUAGGAUAGUGGCCUACCAUGGUUUCAACGGGUAACGGGGAAUUAGGGUUCGACUCCGGAGAGGGAGCCUGAGAAACGGCUACCACAUCCAAGGAAGGCAGCAGGCGCGCAAAUUACCCAAUCCCGACGCGGGGAGGUAGUGACAAUAAAUACUGAUACAGGGCUCUUUUGGGUCUUGUAAUUGGAAUGAGUACAAUUUAAAUCCCUUAACGAGGAACAAUUGGAGGGCAAGUCUGGUGCCAGCAGCCGCGGUAAUUCCAGCUCCAAUAGCGUAUAUUAAAGUUGUUGCAGUUAAAAAGCUCGUAGUUGAACCUUGGGCCUGGCUGGCCGGUCCGCCUCACCGCGUGCACUGGUCCGGCCGGGCCUUUCCUUCUGGGGAGCCGCAUGGCCUUCACUGGCCGUGU
rnacentral:rRNA from 1 species